UAAGCAUAUCAAUAAGCGGAGGAAAAGAAACCAACAGGGAUUGCCCUAGUAACGGCGAGUGAAGCGGCAACAGCUCAAAUUUGAAAUCUGGCCUCGGCCCGAGUUGUAAUUUGCAGAGGAAGCUUUGGGCGCGGCACCGACCGAGUCCCCUGGAACGGGGCGCCAUAGAGGGUGAGAGCCCCGUAUGGUCGGACGCCUAGCCUGUGUAAAGCUCCUUCGACGAGUCGAGUAGUUUGGGAAUGCUGCUCAAAAUGGGAGGUAAAUUUCUUCUAAAGCUAAAUACCGGCCAGAGACCGAUAGCGCACAAGUAGAGUGAUCGAAAGAUGAAAAGCACUUUGAAAAGAGGGUUAAAUAGCACGUGAAAUUGUUGAAAGGGAAGCGCUUGUGACCAGACUUGCGCCCGGCUGAUCAUCUGGUGUUCUCACCAGUGCACUCUGCCGGGCUCAGGCCAGCAUCGGUUCUCGCGGGGGGACAAAGGCCCUGGGAACGUAGCUCCUCCGGGAGUGUUAUAGCCCAGGGCGCAAUGCCCUCGCGGGGACCGAGGUUCGCGCAUCUGCAAGGAUGCUGGCGUAAUGGUCAUCAGCGACCCGUCUUGAAACACGGACCAAGGAGUCAAGGUUUUGCGCGAGUGUUUGGGUGUAAAACCCGCACGCGUAAUGAAAGUGAACGUAGGUGAGAGCUUCGGCGCAUCAUCGACCGAUCCUGAUGUUUUCGGAUGGAUUUGAGUAGGAGCGUUAAGCCUUGGACCCGAAAGAUGGUGAACUAUGCUUGGAUAGGGUGAAGCCAGAGGAAACUCUGGUGGAGGCUCGCAGCGGUUCUGACGUGCAAAUCGAUCGUCAAAUCUGAGCAUGGGGGGCGAAAGACUAAUCGAACCAUCUAGUAGCUGGUUACCGCCGAAU
rnacentral:rRNA from 1 species